rnacentral:lncRNA from 1 species
AGCAUCGUCAGCGACAGGCUAAUGAGCGUCACUUCGCACUCAGUAGCUGCAUAAAGGACUUAGUACUCGUAGCAAACGUCGUCGACCCAGGCAUCCUAACCAGGGCGGUGAUGGUGACGGUAUCGAUGAUCACCCAUAGUCCUCUCACUCUCUCUUCCAGGUUACUCCUAAACAUUGAGGACAAUGUUCAGUUUAAGUGUCGGAGGAGAUUCUUAUCGUUUUUUAUCACUUUCCU